UCCACGCCCUAAACGAUGCGAACUGGACGUUGGGCUCAAUUGAGAGCUCAGUGUCGAAGCUAACGCGUUAAGUUCGCCGCCUGGGGAGUACGGUCGCAAGACUGAAACUCAAAGGAAUUGACGGGGGCCCGCACAAGCGGUGGAGUAUGUGGUUUAAUUCGAUGCAACGCGAAGAACCUUACCUGGUCUUGACAUCCACGGAACCCUUGAGAGAUCGAGG
rnacentral:rRNA from 1 species